rnacentral:rRNA from 1 species
UACAGAGGGUGCUAGCGUUAAUCGGAAUUAUUGGGCGUAAAGCGCACGUAGGUGGUUAUAACAGUCAGAUGUGAAAGCCCCGGGCUUAACCUGGGAAUUGCAUUUGAAACUAUAUGACUAGAGUAGAGUAGAGGAAGGCGGAAUUUCCGGUGUAGCAGUGAAAUGCGUAGAGAUCGGAAGGAACACCAGUGGCGAAGGCGGCUUUCUGGAUUCAUACUGACACUGAGGUGCGAAAGCGUGGGGAGCAAACAGG